rnacentral:pre_miRNA from 1 species
GCCGUGGGCCCGUGGGGCGGUUCGCACGCUCCAUCUGGACGGGAGACAACACGGGGGAGUGGGGCCACCUGCGCGUGUCCAUCCC